AAGUUAGCAUAGACACCGGCUCACUCUCCAUUCUAGCAAAAGAGUUAACACCCCAGAACCAGAAGAUAAUUUAUAAGUUCUGAGUUCAUCUAUUCACCCUGCAAUCUGGUUUUUCCCUCGGGAAACCUAACUACAAGAGGAGAGCCUAACUUAGAAGAAGACGACCACGGUAUCGAACAAACCAAAGAGGAGAUCGGAGAAGUUGAAGAUAUCAAAUUAAAGUUUACUUGAAGUGAUGUCUAUUACACCUCGAAGCAAAGAAUGGAUGGAUGCUCCACGACAGUCGGCUCAAUUUCUGGAAGGAGUUGAAUCCUUUAUCAGGUUCACAAAAGAUACUUAAGGGGCAGAUAGAUUAUACUGCUGUCCAUGCACGAAAUGAAAAUUAGGGGAGGCGGAAGUUCAACAUCAGUAAAAUUUAUUAGUACUGGAUUUUGAGUGGA